rnacentral:rRNA from 1 species
GUCCUUUUGUUUAUUUAAAGAAGGUCUGGCCUGCCCACUGAAAUUAUUUAAAGGGCCGCAGUAAUUUGACUGUGCAAAGGUAGCAUAAUCAUUAGUUUUUUAAUUGAAAGCUUGUAUGAAGGGUUGGACGAGGUAAAUUCUGUCUCUAUUUAAUUUAUAAUAAAAUUUAAUUUUUAAGUUAAAAAGCUUAAAUAUAUUUAAAAGACGAGAAGACCCUAUAGAUCUUUAUAUUAAAUUUAUUAAUUUUAAUAUAGAAUUUUUUCUUUUUUAAUAAAUUUAUUAUUUUAUUGGGGUAAUAAAAAGAUUAAAAUAAUUCUUUUUGAAUAUUUUCAUUAAUUUAUGUUUAUAUGAUCCAAUUUUUUUGAUUAAAAGAUUAAGUUACCUUAGGGAUAACAGCGUAAUUUUUUUAGAGAGUUCAUAUCGAUAAAAAAGUUUGCGACCUCCAUGUUGGAUUAAAAAUUAUCUUAAGUGCAGAAGUUUAACAUUUUGGUCUGUUCGACCAUUAAAUUUUU